AUUUAUAGCGUUCUCCGAGCCAUAGUGCCUAAUGCGUAAUGUGAUGGUGUUAUGGCCGUAUAAGGGUUAAUCGGGAAACGGGUUAGCCUCCCUUUGGAAAGGAGAACAUUCCACCUGUUA
rnacentral:ncRNA from 2 species